rnacentral:lncRNA from 1 species
GCGGUGUAUGCAUGGCAUGGCUCACGGCAUGGGCAAACGAAGGAUUCAAACGGGCACGGCUUACAGAGGGUUCGAGCGAGGCUGGUCCAGUCCAAGCUGAAACGAGUUUUAAUACACGGAACGGUACAAACGACAGUGGCUUAGACAUGCAAAGUGGGACGUACAGAAAUAAUGCGGCGUGGCAUUACACAGCAUAAUGCACGAACGGAAAAGCCAGCAAGGAAGCGGA